rnacentral:rRNA from 1 species
CAGCAGCCGCGGUAAUACGGGGGGUGCAAGCGUUGUUCGGAAUUAUUGGGCGUAAAGAGCGUGUAGGCGGCUGGACAAGUCAGAUGUGAAAGCCCUGGGCUUAACCUAGGAAGUGCAUUUGAAACUGUCCGGCUUGAGUAGGGGAGAGGAAAGUGGAAUUCCUGGUGUAGAGGUGAAAUUCGUAGAUAUCAGGAGGAACACCGGUGGCGAAGGCGACUUUCUGGCCCUAUACUGACGCUGAGACGCGAAAGCGUGGGUAGCAAACAGGAUUAGAUACCCUGGUAGUCCACGCUGUAAACGAUGUUCACUAGGUGUUGGGGGUAUUGACCCUUUCAGUGCCGCAGCUAACGCAUUAAGUGAACCGCCUGGGGAGUACGGUCGCAAGAUUAAAACUCAAAGGAAUUGACGG